CAAACCCUAGAUUCGGAUCCGCCAUCAACAGGCUCCGCCAUCAACAGGCUCGAACGCCCUCUCCUCAAACCCUACCAGAUCUUGUCGUUCGGCGCCUCAAACCCCAGAUUCGGAUCCGCCAUCACCAUAGAGGUGGGGGCUGACGGCAUAGCGCUCAUCACCAUCGCCAACCUGCCCGUGGUGGAUGCGCCAUCGCCUGAGGUGAGCCGCGGGGAAAUGAGGGAUCCUUGGAGGCAGAGCUGGCGUCGCGUCGCUGGUGGACGCUGGUGCUGGUGAACAUGGCGUCGGUGCUGGAAAAGAUAGACGAGAUGUUGCUGCUCGCCGUGUACAAUAAGGUGUGCACGUCGCUGGGCGCUUCUCGACGGCGCUGGGCUCCCAAACCCUUUGUCGCGCGCUCGUUCAAGCCGCCUACUACCUACUCAAAGCCUACGCCUCCGCGCGCCAUGAUCGGGCCCGUGUCGUCGCUGUCGGAGCCUUCACCUGGGCCACCAUCGCCUUCCUCGUCGCCAUCUCCGGCAGCUUCCUCUAGGAAGGCCAUCUGGUAUUUCGAAGGAAUCUAUGCGUACUCCCCUCAGAUACCAGGUGUUCGUUUCCCAUGAUUAACCCAUCCUGGUAUAGUGGGAACUGCACCGUCAGCCAAACUUCUUAAUGUAUGGAAUGAGAGGGAGAAAAGAUUGGCCGAGACAAGCCCACAGACCCUUAAACUGUUUGAAGUGCUACACCAGAGGCCCCUUGCCAAUUUACCGACCCCUGAGAACUGCUUACUUGGAAAGAUUCAGGAGGGGACUGCUGGAUGGCACAAAGUGGCGAAUGAAGCAGCCAGGACUAUUCCGGGAAGGGAGAAUGGUGGUAAUUGUGACAUAAAAAACCUAAGCAGAGGUUCCAAAGUUUAUCUGCCAGUAUUUGUCGAAGGAGCGAAUCUUAGCACCGGUGAUAUGCACUUCUCUCAGGGCGAUGGUGAAGUUUCGUUUUGUGGAGCAAUUGAAAUGAGUGGAUUCCUUGAGCUCAACUUCUUCCAGGGAUUCAUCCCUUUGAUCCAUCCAUCAAAAACAAAGUUCAGUGCAGCGGUGGUUUUGUUGUAAUGGGUCAGAGGUGGCAGCAGGACCAUUGGCACCUUCAUCAAUUUAAGUUCAGUGCAGCGGUGAGGUUCGACAUGCCCCGUGCCUACUAUCACUCUCGAUUUGAAGAAGAGUCUCAAGAUUCUGCAGGUGUUGUGUUACUCCUAAUUCAGUUACCUUACUGGCAAUAGGAUGCCAUUGCAACUUCUGAAAGUGCAACCAUCUGAUUGAAGCGGAUUUAAUUAUACAAGAUAGAUCUAGAAUUGCUUUACUUGAGAUUCAAGCAAUGUUGGAUGCUUUUGUGACUGAUCAUCUCUGGAGCUUUUGUGAAUGAUCUAGCUAGCUAUCUGUAAAUGAUCUUGUUGUGAAUGAUAUUAUAAUUGUGAUGUUUUUUGUGAAUAUAUAAUUGUGGUGCUUUUGUGUUUAUGUGAUGGAUCUAUGACUGUGGUAUACUGAUUAAUUGUGUAUGUCUUUAUGAUUUGUGUAUAAAAAUCUAUGAUUUGUGGUGCUUAA